GUUUAUGAUCCCCCACUCUUCCAGCAUUGCUGUCUGCAUACGGGAGUGAACAGCCUGCGUCUCUGUGGUUUGCAGGCAGGGAGAGAGCAGCAGGAGCUGGCCUUCGACAUUCAGGAGGAGGAGAAGGACCUGGAGCAGGAGCUGUUUUGAAUAUGGUGCCAAACUCCUUUGUUCAAAGCCUAUACAGUAGGAACAUCAAUGGACUAGGAAUAAAUGGAGAACAGGCUGCCUUGCGAAGAUCAAUCAUGUGAAGACUAAUUACAAUGCCCCCACCAAUUUACAAGUGGCCAUUUUGCUUUUCUGAAUGAGAUUAUUAAAAUUCACAUUCCUGGAUUAUGUUACAUUACAAAAAAAAAAUCUUAUGUAAACCACGGAACCCAUGGUACUUUGCGAUUUGAAUUAUUACUCAGUUCUUCCAUUAAGAUAUGAUGGCACUGGCUUUAGGGUUGAUAGUUGUAAAGAGCCGAUGAUCAAUUUUUAAAAAUGAAUAUGUUGUAUACCUUGAUCAUUGAGAAAGCUUUAAAAUGGCAUGUGUACUUAAACUGUACAAGAAUAACUGUAUGUAAAUAAACCAAAACAGAGAAAGAUAA